UUACAACUUCUUAGUUUCUAAAAACUAUUAUAAUAAGUUAUAAAGAAAAUAUAAUCUAUUUCAUUCAUGCAACUAAAGUAAACUAUGGGCAAAAUUGCAAAGUUUGUUUGCAUUCUGAUUAUCUUUCUUUCCUUAUUUCUUUUUGAAAUCACUGUCGGCGGGCGUUAUACCACACCUUGGUGUGUUCGAGAUAUUGAUUGUCCAAAAGAGAAGUGCAAGCAUCCUUUUAAACCGAGGUGUCUUACUCAUAGUUGUGUAUGUCGUUUAUGGGGUUCUCAAGAUGUCAUUUAGUUAUUUUGUCGUCAGUUAAUGACUUUUUUUUUUCUUUUAAUAAUUUCAUGAAUGUUUUGUUAUGAAUUUGUAACCCAGUAUUAUUGUGAUAAAAUGAAAUAAGGUAGAAAAAUAUAUUAUAUAGAUUGUACUUCUUAUUCUUUCUUAA